UAGGGAAUCUUCGGCAAUGGACGAAAGUCUGACCGAGCAACGCCGCGUGAGUGAAGAAGGUUUUCGGAUCGUAAAACUCUGUUGUUAGAGAAGAACAAGGACGUUAGUAACUGAACGUCCCCUGACGGUAUCUAACCAGAAAGCCACGGCUAACUACGUGCCAGCAGCCGCGGUAAUACGUAGGUGGCAAGCGUUGUCCGGAUUUAUUGGGCGUAAAGCGAGCGCAGGCGGUUUCUUAAGUCUGAUGUGAAAGCCCCCGGCUCAACCGGGGAGGGUCAUUGGAAACUGGGAGACUUGAAUGCAGAAGAGGGGGGUGGAAUUCCAUGUGUAGCGGUGAAAUGCGUAGAUAUAUGGAGGAACACCAGUGGCGAAGGCGGCUCUCUGGUCUGUAACUGACGCUGAGGCUCGAAAGCGUGGGGAGCAAACAGG
rnacentral:rRNA from 1 species